rnacentral:rRNA from 1 species
UACGGGGGGAGCAAGCGUUGUUCGGAUUUACUGGGCGUAAAGGGCGCGUAGGCGGCGCAACAAGUCACUUGUGAAAUCUCCGGGCUCAACCCGGAAAUGGCAUUGGAAACUACCUUGCUGGAGGAUUUGAGGGGGGAUUGGAAGUACUUGGUGUAGCAGUGAAAUGCGUAGAUAUCAAGUGGAACACCAGUGGCGAAGGCGAAUCCCUGGAAAAUACCUG